UGAAUACGAGACGCUAAGGCGUCGAAGUAGUGUAUGUCAUACUUCCAAGAAAAGCGUGCACUGUCAUAGAUAAAAAACGCCUGUACCAUAACCGACACAGGUGGGUAGGUAGAGUAUACUAAGGGGCGCGAGAUAACUCUCUCUAAGGAGCUCGGCAAAAUAACUCCGUAACUUCGGGAGAAGGAGUGCCUUAUUAUUAAGGCUGCAAUAACAAGAUCCAAGCAACUGUUUAUCAAAAACACAGGUCUCCGCUAAGUCGUAAGACGAUGUAUGGGGGCUGACGCCUGCCCAGUGCCAGAAGGUUAAAGAAGUUGGUUAGCAUUUGCGAAGCUGAUAACUGAAGCCCUGGUGAACGGCGGCCGUAACGAUAACGGUCCUAAGGUAGCGAAAUUCCUUGUCGGGUAAGUUCCGACCCGCACGAAAGGCGUAAUGAUUUGGAUACUGUCUCGGAGAGGGGCUCGGUGAAAUAGACUUGUCUGUGAAGAUGCGGACUACCUGCACCAGGACAGAAAGACCCUAUGAAGCUUUACUGUAACUUGAAAUUGAAAUUGGACUUUAUUCGCGCAGCAUAGGUGGGAGGCGUUGAUUAUAAUCUUGUGGGAUUAUUGGAGCCAUCAGUGAGAUACCACUCUUGUAAUGUUAGAUUUCUAACUUUGAAUCAUUAUCUGGUCAAAGAACAGUUUCAGGCGGGCAGUUUGACUGGGGCGGUCGCCUCCUAAACGGUAACGGAGGCGUACAAAGGUUUCCUCUGAACGGUUAGAAAUCGUAUCUAGAGUGUAAAGGCAUAAGGAAGCUUGACUGUGAGACCUACAAGUCGAGCAGGGACGAAAGUCGGUCUUAGUGAUCUGACGGUACUGAGUGGAAAGGCCGUCACUCAACGGAUAAAAGUUACUCUAAGGAUAACAGGCUGAUCUCCCCCAAGAGUUCACAUCGACGGGGAGGUUUGGCACCUCGAUGUCGGCUCAUCGCAUCCUGGGGCGGUAGUACGUCCCAAGGGUUGGGCUGUUCGCCCAUGAAAGCGGUACGCGAGCUGGGUUCAGAACGUCGUGAGACAGUUCGGUCCAUAUCCGGUGUAGGCGUUAGAAUAUUGAGAGGAGCCUUCUUUAGUACGAGAGGACCGAGAAGGACAUACCUCUGGUGUACCAGUUAUCGUGCCAACGGUAAACGCUGGGUAGCUAAGUAUGGAGUGGAUAACCGCUGAAAGCAUCUAAGUGGGAAGCCCACCUCAAGAUAAGUAUUCUCAUC
rnacentral:rRNA from 1 species